rnacentral:rRNA from 1 species
AUGAACGCUAGCUACAGGCUUAACACAUGCAAGUCGAGGGGCAGCAUGACCUAGCAAUAGGUUGAUGGCGACCGGCGCACGGGUGAGUAACACGUAUCCAACCUGCCGAUUAUUCCGGGAUAGCCUUUCGAAAGAAAGAUUAAUACUGGAUAGUAUAACGAGAAGGCAUCUUUUUGUUAUUAAAGAAUUUCGAUAAUCGAUGGGGAUGCGUUCCAUUAGCUUGUUGGCGGGGUAACGGCCCACCAAGGCAUCGAUGGAUAGGGGUUCUGAGAGGAAGGUCCCCCACAUUGGAACUGAGACACGGUCCAAACUCCUACGGGAGGCAGCAGUGAGGAAUAUUGGUCAAUGGACGAGAGUCUGAACCAGCCAAGUAGCGUGAAGGAUGACUGCCCUAUGGGUUGUAAACUUCUUUUAUAUGGGAAUAAAGUGAGCCACGUGUGGCUUUUUGUAUGUACCAUACGAAUAAGGAUCGGCUAACUCCGUGCCAGCAGCCGCGGUAAUACGGAGGAUCCAAGCGUUAUCCGGAUUUAUUGGGUUUAAAGGGAGCGUAGGCGGACUAUUAAGUCAGCUGUGAAAGUUUGCGGCUCAACCGUAAAAUUGCAGUUGAUACUGGUCGUCUUGAGUGCAGUAGAGGUAGGCGGAAUUCGUGGUGUAGCGGUGAAAUGCUUAGAUAUCACGAAGAACUCCGAUUGCGAAGGCAGCUUACUGGACUGUAACUGACGCUGAUGCUCGAAAGUGUGGGUAUCAAACAGGAUUAGAUACCCUGGUAGUCCACACAGUAAACGAUGAAUACUCGCUGUUUGCGAUAUACAGUAAGCGGCCAAGCGAAAGCGUUAAGUAUUCCACCUGGGGAGUACGCCGGCAACGGUGAAACUCAAAGGAAUUGACGGGGGCCCGCACAAGCAGUGGAGUAUGUGGUUUAAUUCGACGCAACGCGAAGAACCUUACCAGGGCUUGACAUAUACAUUAAAGUCUAAGAGAUUAGACCCCUCUUCGGAGCGUGUAUACAGGUGGUGCAUGGUUGUCGUCAGCUCGUGCCGUGAGGUGUCGGCUUAAGUGCCAUAACGAGCGCAACCCUUAUCUUUAGUUACUAACAGGUGAUGCUGAGGACUCUAGAGAGACUGCCGUCGUAAGAUGUGAGGAAGGUGGGGAUGACGUCAAAUCAGCACGGCCCUUACGUCCGGGGCUACACACGUGUUACAAUGGGGGGUACAGAAGGCAGCUACACAGCGAUGUGAUGCUAAUCCCAAAAGCCUCUCUCAGUUCGGAUUGGAGUCUGCAACCCGACUCCAUGAAGCUGGAUUCGCUAGUAAUCGCGCAUCAGCCACGGCGCGGUGAAUACGUUCCCGGGCCUUGUACACACCGCCCGUCAAGCCAUGAAAGCCGGGGGUACCUGAAGUACGUAACCGCAAGGAGCGUCCUAGGGUAAAACUGGUAAUUGGGGCU